GUCGCGAGGUGGUGGAGCUCUCCUCCUAACACGCCUCCUAGGUACAUCCUGAGCCACCUCUGCUCCUCCAUAAAAUUGUCUAUAGUAGGCCUCAUCAAUGGCCUUCCUAGGGUACUCAAAAGGUGGAGUAGAUAUAUCCACCCCAACUGCAUGGCAUAACUGUGUGACUAGAGAUGGAUGCCCCAAUGGUGCUUUGUUGCUGGUAGUCAUCGCACAACUCCUAAUCUCAUUGGUUAUCACCUGGCCAAUGUUGAUGUUCAUACCACUCAGCACACAGUAGAUAAACAGGGCCCUCUUGACAUUA
rnacentral:lncRNA from 1 species